rnacentral:rRNA from 1 species
CCUACGGGCGGCAGCAGUGAGGAAUAUUGGUCAAUGGACGAGAGUCUGAACCAGCCAAGUAGCGUGAAGGAUGACUGCCCUAUGGGUUGUAAACUUCUUUUAUAUGGGAAUAAAAUGUUCCACGUGUGGGAUUUUGUAUGUACCAUAUGAAUAAGGAUCGGCUAACUCCGUGCCAGCAGCCGCGGUAAUACGGAGGAUCCGAUCGUUAUCCGGAUUUAUUGGGUUUAAAGGGAGCGUAGGUGGAUUGUUAAGUCAGUGGUGAAAGUUUGCGGCUCAACCGUAAAAUUGCAGUUGAAACUGGCAGUCUUGAGUACAGUAGAGGUGGGCGGAAUUCGUGGUGUAGCGGUGAAAUGCUUAGAUAUCACGAAGAACUCCGAUUGCGAAGGCAGUUCACUGGACUGCAACUGACACUGAGGCUCGAAAGUGUGGGUAUCAAACAGGAUUAGAUACCCGUGUAGUC